rnacentral:rRNA from 1 species
UCUUUUCCUUUUGUGCCCGCCGCCGCGGUAAUACGGAAGGUCCGGGCGUUAUCCGGAUUUAUUGGGUUUAAAGGGAGCGUAGGCCGGAGAUUAAGCGUGUUGUGAAAUGUAGAUGCUCAACAUCUGAACUGCAGCGCGAACUGGUUUCCUUGAGUACGCACAAAGUGGGCGGAAUUCGUGGUGUAGCGGUGAAAUGCUUAGAUAUCACGAAGAACUCCGAUUGCGAAGGCAGCUCACUGGAGCGCAACUGACGCUGAAGCUCGAAAGUGCGGGUAUCGAACAGG